CCUACGGGUGGCAGCAGUGGGGAAUAUUGGUCAAUGGGCGCAAGCCUGACCCAGCAACGCCGCGUGAAGGAAGAAGGCUUUCGGGUUGUAAACUUCUUUUGUCAGGGACGAAGCAAGUGACGGUACCUGACGAAUAAGCCACGGCGAACUACGUGCCAGCAGCCGCGGGAAUACGGAGGUGGCAAGCUUUAUCCGGAUUUACUGGGUGUAAAGGGCGUGUAGGCGGGAAUGCAAGUCAGAUGUGAAAACCACGGGCUCAACCUGUGGCCUGCCUUUGAAACUGUAGUUCUUGAGUACUGGAGAGGCAGACGGAAUUCCUAGUGUAGCGGUGAAAUGCGUAGAUAUUAGGAGGAACACCAGUGGCGAAGGCGGUCUGCUGGACAGCAACUGACGCUGAGGCGCGAAAGCGUGGGGAGCAAACAGGAUUAGAUACCCUAGUAGUC
rnacentral:rRNA from 1 species